ensembl:lncRNA
AGUGAUUCCCACGGGCUUCCUUCAGAGAUUUGAAUUUUUCUAAGUACAUGGUAAGAUGCAGUCUCUACUCCAAAGUUUUCUGGUGCAAGACACAACGUGAGUGACAUUAAGAACGGAUGAUGGAGAAUACUCUUGCUAAAAGUUAAAAUGUUAUAUCAUGAGAUUUGUUACUCAUCGGAUAAAUCCAAGAUCUCACCCAAGGAGAACUGUGAAUACUGUGGGAGGGGAACUGUCACUUCAUUUUCAGAGCUUCACUAUGCAUUUUGCAGCUAUGUAAGAAUACAGAUGCCAAGAAAGUUUGCUGGCCAUUUCUGCUUAAAGCAACGAUGA